ensembl:lncRNA
CACUGCUCUGCCAGCUGCCCGUCCAGCCACUGCUCUGCCAGCUGCCCGUCCAGCCACUGCUCUGCCAGCUGCACGUCCAGCCACUGCUCUGCCAGCUGCACUCUCUGCAGCUUUUACGGUUGCCCCUAUGCAUAGUGCUCCCCAGCAAGACACACAGGGCUUGGUAGACGAACAGCCUUCAACAUCAGCUCUGGGCUCCACCAGUCAUGAUGACUCGGUUGGACCUGACAAUGUUGAGGGCUUUCAAGCAGUCCAGGACUUGACUGUAUCGAAUGAAAUAAUUUCCCUGUGGAAUUAUUUGUCAGACUUUGACAAGUGUCGCACAGUGUACCCCCCACGUCACCAGGAUACACUCGCACAUGGCAGAUUCAGGGCGUCAAAAAAGGCUGUUGCGCCUGGUGUGGAGAGUACAAAGCGAUGCUUUGCAGGAGGGAGAAGCCCAGCACAGUGGCCAGACUGCAAUCGGGUUUGUGAGGCACUCUUCGUCCAACUUUGCGAGGAGUACCGUGGAUCGAGGCGGAUUGAUGGGGUCCGCCACGAGCGCUGGAGUCUGGUCAUGAAAGCGUACCUCCACAUCCGUCAGGUUGUUUUAAACAACGCCACGGUGAUGGAGAAGACCUCACUUCAGCUCCCGGUCGUGAACACGGCAACACUCUCGAGUUGGUACUGCAAACGGGAAAGAGGACAGGAGAAGAGGAUUCUCGAGCAAGGGAUCUGUCCGCCUCAGACAACAACCGUGAGCCCCGAGGGCCUGCCUCCUGCAGUUAAGAGGAAAGGCAAACCGUGUAUGCCUCAAAGCAUCGUGGCAUAUUCCCACGUGUUUGUUCUGCCACCUAACACUGCAGGGACGGCAAAACUGCAGGGACGGAAGAUCAGAAGAGUGAACCCUCCUUCUGAUCUUCUGAGGCCACCAUUCCUCGCAGCCCUCGAGCCUCAAAUCCAGCCCCCCACACCUGUGUUUCCCACACCUCCAUUCAUCCCACCUCUCCUGCCUCAACCCCUCUGGUCUGUGCCGCAACCUCACCUUCCUGCCUUACAGCCUGCAGGAGCAUCUGUGGUACAUGUGCCAUAUACCACCACCCACUAUCGACGGAAAAAAAGAGAGGAGGAGGAGAAGACUGGUUUUAAGAAGAGGAAAUAUAGAAGGAGUAGUGCCACCAUUCUCUGCCGUCAGUGUCAGAGGGAGCGGGACCCUGCCACUCACAAUCAGUAAUUCGGGAACUGGUACUGCCACGCCACAGCCACCAUGACCCUGGCUGAGUAGAGGGCUGCACUUGAAGCCCAGGGUUAUGGGAGGAAAAAGGGAGCUCCACCUUAAAUUGGCAGUAUAUCGGGCACAAAAAGUUUUUAAUGUUUUUUAAUGUUGUUUUU